AUUGAACGCUGGCGGCAGGCCUAACACAUGCAAGUCGAACGAGUGGCGGACGGGUGAGUAAUGUCUGGGAAACUGCCUGAUGGAGGGGGAUAACUACUGGAAACGGUAGCUAAUACCGCAUACCCUCAUAUGUCUCCAGAUGGGAUUAGCGUGUUGGUGGGGUAACGGAGCACCAAGGCGACGAUCCCGAGCUGGUCUGAGAGGAUUACCAGGCACACUGGAACGGAGACACGGUCCAGACUCCUACGGGAUGCAGCAGUGGGGAAUAUGGCACAAUGGGCGCAGGCCUGAUGCAGACAUGCCGCGUGUAUGAAGAAGGCCUUCGGGUUGUAAGGUACUUUCAGCGGGGAGGCGUUACCCGCAGAAGAAGCACCGGCUAACUCCGUGCCAGCAGCCGCGGUAAUAC
rnacentral:rRNA from 1 species